rnacentral:rRNA from 1 species
GCUUAACACAUGCAAGUCGAGGGGCAGCAUGGUCUUAGCUUGCUAAGGCCGAUGGCGACCGGCGCACGGGUGAGUAACACGUAUCCAACCUGCCGUCUACUCUUGGACAGCCUUCUGAAAGGAAGAUUAAUACAAGAUGGCAUCAUGAGUCCGCAUGUUCACAUGAUUAAAGGUAUUCCGGUAGACGAUGGGGAUGCGUUCCAUUAGAUAGUAGGCGGGGUAACGGCCCACCUAGUCUUCGAUGGAUAGGGGUUCUGAGAGGAAGGUCCCCCACAUUGGAACUGAGACACGGUCCGAACUCCUACGGGAGGCAGCAGUGAGGAAUAUUGGUCAAUGGGCGAGAGCCUGAACCAGCCAAGUAGCGUGAAGGAUGACUGCCCUAUGGGUUGUAAACUUCUUUUAUAAAGGAAUAAAGUCGGGUAUGCAUACCCGUUUGCAUGUACUUUAUGAAUAAGGAUCGGCUAACUCCGUGCCAGCAGCCGCGGUAAUACGGAGGAUCCGAGCGUUAUCCGGAUUUAUUGGGUUUAAAGGGAGCGUAGAUGGAUGUUUAAGUCAGUUGUGAAAGUUUGCGGCUCAACCGUAAAAUUGCAGUUGAUACUGGAUAUCUUGAGUGCAGUUGAGGCAGGCGGAAUUCGUGGUGUAGCGGUGAAAUGCUUAGAUAUCACGAAGAACUCCGAUUGCGAAGGCAGCCUGCUAAGCUGCAACUGACAUUGAGGCUCGAAAGUGUGGGUAUCAAACAGGAUUAGAUACCCUGGUAGUCCACACGGUAAACGAUGAAUACUCGCUGUUUGCGAUAUACGGCAAGCGGCCAAGCGAAAGCGUUAAGUAUUCCACCUGGGGAGUACGCCGGCAACGGUGAAACUCAAAGGAAUUGACGGGGGCCCGCACAAGCGGAGGAACAUGUGGUUUAAUUCGAUGAUACGCGAGGAACCUUACCCGGGCUUAAAUUGCAGAUGAAUUACGGUGAAAGCCGUAAGCCGCAAGGCAUCUGUGAAGGUGCUGCAUGGUUGUCGUCAGCUCGUGCCGUGAGGUGUCGGCUUAAGUGCCAUAACGAGCGCAACCCUUGUUGUCAGUUACUAACAGGUUCCGCUGAGGACUCUGACAAGACUGCCAUCGUAAGAUGUGAGGAAGGUGGGGAUGACGUCAAAUCAGCACGGCCCUUACGUCCGGGGCUACACACGUGUUACAAUGGGGGGUACAGAGGGCCGCUACCACGCGAGUGGAUGCCAAUCCCAAAAACCUCUCUCAGUUCGGACUGGAGUCUGCAACCCGACUCCACGAAGCUGGAUUCGCUAGUAAUCGCGCAUCAGCCACGGCGCGGUGAAUACGUUCCCGGGCCUUGUACACACCGCCCGUCAAGCCAUGGGAGCCGGGGGUACCUGAAGUGCGUAACCGCGAGGAGCGCCCUAGGGUAAAACUGGUGACUGGGGCUAAGUCAUAA